ensembl:snRNA U6 U6 spliceosomal RNA
GUGCUCGCCUUGGCAACACAUAUAUUAAAAUUGGAAGGAUACAGAGAAGAUUAGCAUGCACAAGGAAGACCCACAAAUUCGUGAAGUGUUCGAUAUUUUU